CCUACGGGAGGCAGCAGUGAGGAAUAUUGGUCAAUGGGCGCGAGCCUGAACCAGCCAAGUCGCGUGAGGGAAGACGGCCCUACGGGUUGUAAACCUCUUUUGCCGGGGAACAACGGGCGCCACGUGUGGCGCCACUGAGAGUACCCGGGAAAAAAGCAUCGGCAAACCCCGUGCCAGCAGCCGCGGUAAUACGGAGGAUGUGAGCUUUAUCCGGAUUUAUUGGGUUUAAGGGGUGCGUAGGCGGAUGGUUAAGUCAGUGGUAAAAUUGAGGGGCUCAACCCCUUCCCGCCAUUGAAACUGGCGCUCUUGAGUGGAAGAGAAGUAGGCGGAAUGCGUGGUGUAGCGGUGAAAUGCAUAGAUAUCACGCAGAACCCCGAUUGCGAAGGCAGCAUGCCGGCUUCCGACUGACGCUGAAGCACGAAAGCGUGGGGAUCGAACAGGAUUAGAUACCCUUGUAGUC
rnacentral:rRNA from 1 species